rnacentral:rRNA from 1 species
UACGUAGGGCGCAAGCGUUGUCCGGAAUUAUUGGGCGUAAAGAGCUCGUAGGCGGCUUGUCACGUCGGGUGUGAAAGCCCGGGGCUUAACCCCGGGUCUGCAUUCGAGACUGCUCUGCUAGGGUGCGGAAGAGGGAAGCGGAAUUUCCGGUGUAGCGGUGAAAUGCGUAGAUAUCGGAAGGAACACCAGUGGCGAAAGCGGCUUCCUGGUCCAGCACCGACGUUCAGGCACGAAGCGUGGGGAGCAAACAGG